rnacentral:rRNA from 1 species
ACGGAGGGUGCGAGCGUUAAUCGGAAUUACUGGGCGUAAAGCGCGCGCAGGCGGCUAUUUAAGUGGGAUGUGAAAGCCCUGGGCUCAACCUGGGAACUGCAUCCCAAACUGAACAGCUAGAGUGUGUCAGAGGGUGCUGGAAUUUCCUGUGUAGCGGUGAAAUGCGUAGAUAUAGGAAGGAACACCAGUGGCGAAGGCGAGUACCUGGGACAACACUGACGCUGAGGUGCGAAAGCGUGGGGAGCAAACAGG